GCCUCGAUAGCUCAGUUGGGAGAGCGUUAGACUGAAGACCUAAAGGUCACCAGUUCGAUCCUGGUUCGGGGCA
rfam:Necator americanus N_americanus-1.0_Cont129434.1, whole genome shotgun sequence.